rnacentral:rRNA from 1 species
UGGGGAAUAUUGGACAAUGGGGGCAACCCUGAUCCAGCCAUGCCGCGUGAGUGAAGAAGGCCUUCGGGUUGUAAAGCUCUUUUAGUCGGAAAGAAAGAGUUGCAAUGAAUAAUUGUGAUUUAUGACGGUACCGACAGAAAAAGCACCGGCUAACUACGUGCCAGCAGCCGCGGUAAUACGUAGGGUGCGAGCGUUAAUCGGAAUUACUGGGCGUAAAGGGUGCGCAGGCGGUCUUGCAAGUCAGAUGUGAAAGCCCCGGGCUUAACCUGGGAAUUGCGUUUGAAACUACAAGGCUAGAGUGCAGCAGAGGGGAGUGGAAUUCCAUGUGUAGCAGUGAAAUGCGUAGAGAUGUGGAAGAACACCGAUGGCGAAGGCAGCUCCCUGGGUUGACACUGACGCUCAUGCACGAAAGCGUGGGGAGCAAACA